UACGUAGGCAGCAAGCGUUGUUCGGAAUUACUGGGCGUAAAGGGUGCGUAGGCGGCUUUUUAAGUUUGGUGUGAAAUCUCCCGGCUCAACUGGGAGGGUGCGCCGAAUACUGAGAAGCUAGAGUGUGGGAGAGGAAAGUGGAAUUCCUGGUGUAGCGGUGAAAUGCGUAGAUAUCAGGAGGAACACCGGUGGUGUAAACGGCUUUCUGGACCAUAACUGACGCUGAGGCACGAAAGCGUGGGGAGCGAACAGG
rnacentral:rRNA from 1 species